rnacentral:rRNA from 1 species
UACGGAGGAGGCAAGCGUUAUCCGGAAUUAUUGGGCGUAAAGCGUCCGUAGGUGGUUUAGUAAGUCUGCUGUUAAAGCGCGGGCUUAACUCCGUAUCGGCAGUGGAAACUACUAGACUAGAGUGUGGUAGGGGUAGAGGGAAUUCCCAGUGUAGCGGUGAAAUGCGUAGAUAUUGGGAAGAACACCGGUGGCGAAGGCGCUCUACUGGGCCAUAACUGACACUGAUGGACGAAAGCUAGGGGAGCGAAAGGG